rnacentral:rRNA from 1 species
GGACUGCUCACUGAUAAAUUUAUUAAAGAGCUGCGGUAUAUUGACUGUACAAAGGUAGCAUAAUCAUUAGUUUUUUAAUUGAAAACUUGUAUGAAUGGUUUGACAAAAUAAAUAUUGUCUCUUUUAUUAAAAUAAAAUUUAACUUUUAAGUGAAAAGGCUUAAAUUAUUCUAGGGGACGAUAAGACCCUAUAAAGCUUUAUAUUUGUAUUUUAUUUUAAAAAAAUUAAUUUAACUGUAAGUCUAAAAUAUUUUGAUUAAUUGGGGCGAUGUAUAAAUAAUUUAUUUAACUUUAUUGAGUUAAAACAUUUUAUGUAUGGAGUAAUUAAUAGAUCCUUGUUAAAGAUUAAAGUAAAGUUACUUUAGGGAUAACAGCGUUAUUUUUUUUGAGAGUUCAUAUCGAAAAAAAAGAUUGCGACCUCGAUGUUGAAUUAAAAAUUCUGCUUAGUGUAGCCGCUAAGAAAGAAGGUCUGUUCGACCUUUAAAUUUUUACGUGAUCU